ACCCCUAUUACCUUAGUCCCUUAUGGGGCUUAUGGCUUUUCCUUUGUCUUAGGUGGUUGAGAGACAGAACAGUUUGACUUGAGCACUAACUUUCUCAUUCUUAGCAAGUUUCCUAUCAGAGGUUUUGUGAUAUUUUCAAAAGAAAGCUUAAAUGUUCCUCUUAUGGUUCUCUCAUGUCACUCAAAUGGUGUAUGAUUCCUCACCAAGGCAUAUGGUAAGAGUUGCCUUCUCUAUUUCAUCCUAUUUCUAAAAGGCUUAUGUGGAGUUCAAGGUAGGGAUGAAAGGAGAUAGCAUACUUACUUUGCAUGUAUUGCGAAGUCAAAGCUCGGAUCCUUGAAGAGAAGUGUCAUACUCCCAGAUCAAGAUGUGCAAGUGUGAUAUAUGGUGGACUAGGUUGCUCCUUUAUUUGAUAGACUCUCUAUGUAUUGAGACAUGGCUAGCAUUUUUUUCUUCUUUUUUUUAUAUAUAUGAGCUUUCAUGUGCUCAAUUUUCUUUUUCUGUGGACUUGCACAUGUCCAUCUUUUUAUUUCAUUUUGCCUAGCCCUUUUGAUGUCUCAUUUACCAAAUAAUGCUUAGAGAGAUGUUCUAACAUUUAGAGUAUGGAGCAACCUAUUUAGUGGAUGCGAAAUACAUGUGGUUGCGUACUUCCAGUGUAGAAGCAGCAUAUAUAUAUGUGGUGUGUACGUGAUCUUGAUCUUAGGAGCAUGAAAAGUCUCUUAACAAGGGUCAACAAGACUUGACGACACUCAACACAAAGCAAAUAGCUUAUGUGGAAAGGUUGCAAUUAUGUAAAGUAGAUAUGGCUGUGGUAGGAAUUCAUCACCAUUGAGGAACAAUUAAGGUUUUGAUCAUUUUAAGAAUAAAUCUCUGAUAAUCAUGCAUGCUUAGAAAAAUAUUAUAGUAGCUCUUGUCUUACUAUCUCAUGUCCCACAAUAACUUAGACUUAGUUCUAGCACUUGCAACCCACAAAGUUUUUAGGUUCAUGGCAGUUUAAGUGAACUAAGUGAUCCAUACUUAGAGAAAUACUAAGUUGUAUACUAGGCACUAGAGAAACAUUAACAAGCAACUAGUCAUAAUUUCCAUGAGGGAUAUAAACAUACAUGAAGCAUAUAUGCUAAAGGGAAAUGCUAAUAAAUAUUUUUUUUUAAGUAAGAAUGAUAAAAUGCAUGAAAAUAAAUAGGAUAGAAUACUUACCUUAGUGGGGGAGAGGAUCUCCCCCAAGCUAGAUCUUCGCUCACUGUGGUGGCGGGAAAUUUUGGUACCAUCCAGCCCAGCGUUGUGCGUCUUCCUCUCGCACACGUCGGAUAUGUUGGCCGUUUUGUAACGCCAGUUGCAAUGUUGCUUCUUGCCCAAUCUGC
rnacentral:lncRNA from 1 species